rnacentral:antisense_RNA from 1 species
GGACCCUGGGCCACUGCACCCCACCAGGACGGCAGGACUGAAAAGGCCACUGACCUGCUCAUCUGACACCUGAGGGCCGCUGGAGACCCAGGGACACUGGCUGCUGCGGCUCAUGUUUGAAAGCUGUCCGGAGGCGGGACUUCCUCUUCCUCCAGGGGCCGCCGUCCGGAGGCGGGACUUCCUCUUCCUCGGGGACAACUGUCUUUUUCUCUUAAGGCCUUGGACUGCCUGGAUGAGGCUAUAAUAUGGUCAGUACUCCGCUCUACCCAAAGUCUCCUGAUUGAAAUAUUAACCUCAUCCAAGAAACACCCUCACAGCGACGUCUACACUGGUGUUUGACCAAAUAGCUGGGGACCGUGGCCUGGUCGAGCUGACACAAAAGUAACCAUCACAGCUGCUGCUAUGGUCUGAAUGUUGGUGUCACCCCCAGAUUCAUUUGUUAGAACUUAAGCCCCAAGGCGAUGGCAUCACUGGUGGGCUUUGGGAGAUGAGGAGGAUAUGAAUGGGACCAGUAGCCUCAUGAGAGGUUUGAGGGUCCUGGUUGCCCUUCCCCACCCUCCCGUCCCUGCCACUGGGUGAGGACACAGCAAGAAGCUGCCGUCCUGUGAGCAGAGAGCAGAAAGCAGCCCUCACCAGACGCUGAAUCUGCUGGGGCCUCGGUCCUGGACGUCCCAGCCUCCAGAACUGAGCGAUGAAAUUCUGGUUACAAAUUGCCCCCUCUGAGGUAUUUUGUUUUAGCAGAAGGAACAGACGAGGAUGACCACCGAGGCCCUUCUCAGGCUGCCGCGGGUCUCAAGGAUGGGGACAGUCAGCUGGGGCCAACCGAGCUGCAUGUGGUCAAGGGCCCAUGCAUGUGACCAGGGCCCGCCUCCCACGUCACCCAGUGCACCCUCAGCAUGGGACACGGACCUAGACACUGCCGGGGUCUCCGUCCUUGCAGGCACUGCCAGGCGCCCCUCCCUGGGAGAAGCUGCAGCUCUGAGGCUACGGUCUUGCAGGUCAGCCACCACCUGG